CGACCGGCGCACGGGUGAGUAACACGUAUGCAACCUGGCCGUGACAGAUGGAUAACCGGGAGAAAUCCCGCCUAAUACAGCAUGACGCCGGGAAGGGACAUCCCUUUCCGGCCAAAGGGGGCGACUCCGGUCACGGAUGGGCAUGCGGCGCAUUAGGUAGUUGGUGGGGCAACGGCCCACCAAGCCGACGAUGCGUAGGGGUUCUGAGAGGAAGGUCCCCCACAUUGGAACUGAGACACGGUCCAAACUCCUACGGAAGGCAGCAG
rnacentral:rRNA from 1 species